UAUGGCUAGGGGGUCUUAAAGGAUGGUCCCCCACACUGGUACUGAGACACGGACCAGACUCCUACGGGAGGCAGCAGUGAGGAAUAUUGGUCAAUGGGCGGAAGCCUGAACCAGCCAUGCCGCGUGCAGGAUACUGCCCUACGGGUUGUAAACUGCUUUAGCCCGCCAGGAAACGUCCCCACGUGUGGGGAUUUGACCGGCGGUAGAAUAAGCAUCGGCUAACUCCGUGCCAGCAGCCGCGGUAAUACGGAGGAUGCGAGCGUUAUCCGGAUUUAUUAGGUUUAAAGGGUGUGUAGGCGGGGCGUUAAGUCAGUGGUGAAAUCCCGGGGCGCAACCUCGGAACUGCCAUUGAAACUAUCGCCCUUGAGUUCAGUUGAGGCGGGCGGAAUGUGUAAUGUAGCGGUGAAAUGCUUAGAUAUUACACAGAACACCGAUUGCGUAAGCAGCUCGCUAAACUGUUACUGACGCUGAUGCACGAAAGCGUGGGGAGCGAACAGGAUUAGAUACCCUGGUAGUCCACGCCGUAAACGAUGAUCACUCGCUGUAUGCCUUUUGAGGUAUGUGGCUUAGCGAAAGCAUUAAGUGAUCCACCUGGGGAGUACGUCGGCAACGAUGAAACUCAAAGGAAUUGACGGGGGCCCGCACAAGCGGUGGAACAUGUGGUUUAAUUCGAUGAUACGCGAGGAACCUUACCUGGGCUUAAAUGUAGCGCGACCGCGCCCGAAAGGGCGCUUCCCCUCGGGGCGCGCCACAAGGUGCUGCAUGGCUGUCGUCAGCUCGUGCCGUGAGGUGUCGGGUUAAGUCCCAUAACGAGCGCAACCCCUAUCCUUAGUUGCCAGCGGGUAAUGCCGGGGACUCUAAGGAGACUGCCACCGUAAGGUGUGAGGAAGGUGGGGAUGACGUCAAGUCAGCACGGCCCUUAUGUCCAGUGCUACACACGUGUUACAAUGGCCGGUACAAAGGGCAGCUACCUGGUGACAGGAUGCUAAUCUCUAAAACCGGUCCCAGUUCGGAUCGGAGUCUGCAACUCGACUCCGUGAAGUUGGAAUCGCUAGUAAUCGUAUAUCAGCAAUGAUACGGUGAAUACGUUCCCGGGCCUUGUACACACCGCCCGUCAAGCCAUGGAAGCCGGGGGUGCCUGAAGUCGGUGACCGCAAGGAGCUGCCUAGGGCAAAACUGGUAACUGGGGCUAAGUCGGAACAAGGUA
rnacentral:rRNA from 1 species